ACUACCCUACAGACCGCGAUAACCUCGGGAAACUGAGGCCAAUAGCGGAUAUAACUCUCAGACUGGAGUGCCGAGAGUUAGAAACGUUCCGGCGCUGUAGGAUGUGGCUGCGGCCGAUUAGGUAGAUGGUGGGGUAACGGCCCACCAUGCCGAUAAUCGGUACAGGUUGUGAGAGCAAGAGCCUGGAGACGGUAUCUGAGACAAGAUACCGGGCCCUACGGGGCGCAGCAGGCGCGAAACCUUUACACUGCACGACAGUGCGAUAGGGGGACUCCGAGUGUGAGGGCAUAUAGCCCUCGCUUUUCUGAACCGUAAGGUGGUUCAGGAACAAGGACUGGGCAAGACCGGUGCCAGCCGCCGCGGUAAUACCGGCAGUCCAAGUGAUGGCCGAUAUUAUUGGGCCUAAAGCGUCCGUAGCUUGCUGUGUAAGUC
rnacentral:rRNA from 1 species